rnacentral:rRNA from 1 species
UUAAAUUGAAGAGUUUGAUCAUGGCUCAGAUUGAACGCUGGCGGCAGGCCUAACACAUGCAAGUCGAACGGUAACAGGGAUCAGCUUGCUGAUUCGCUGACGAGUGGCGGACGGGUGAGUAAU